rnacentral:lncRNA from 1 species
AGGAAAGUACCCAGCUCAGAGCUUGACGCAUCUGAUUUAUUUUCAGUCGGUUGCGUAGCUUAUAUGUUCAUCGUAUAGAUUUCUGAAACAACAAGUAAUUUUCCAGAUAAGAAAUAAACGAGAACAUAUAAAUGCAUGAUAGAAUCUAUGGGACCAAGUAUUUUCUUAAGUGUUUGAAAACAAGAUAGAUUUCACCGUCAAUCUAUGUGAUAGUAGCGCGCGGAACAAUCACGACACGGGUGGAGUACGUAUACACUGGAAGGAUAGCCACAAGAUAUGGCAUGACAUACGCCAGGAGUAAUAGCAGGGAAAAUAAUCGUAAUAAGCAAAUCACCGUCUAAUACUAGUUUGUUUCUCUAGAUCAACAGCAACCACCAUAAUACGUAAGUAGCUGGUUGUUGAUCUUGAUCCAAGAUCCUAAGACGGUGAUCGAGCAAAUAAAUUGUUUUCAUGCACUUGAAAAAUAGCAAAAAUCAAAGGCCUACUACCAAUAUUGGUUGUGAACAAAACAAUCAGCGGAAACAAUACAUAGGAUGAUGGAUGCCGAGAUAUACGGAGGAAAUCAUCAACAUCUUUGCACACAGCUUAAUAUCUCAACUUCAUAUUAUUGAUGACAGUAGUCAACGCAUUGAGGAAACCGGGUAACAAAGGAGUAGCGCGCUACAACACCAAUUAACUAAUUAUUAGCGGUACAAAAGAAGAACACCAAGGUUUAUACCACAUAUCACACCACUUCGAUCAUAAACCCCUGGAUAUUGGUACAGAUACCCAAGAACACAAGGUUCAUCCCCCUAUCUUCAUCCACGUACCCGUCAUCAAGAUACACUACCACCCCCAGAUCAGACCAGAACAAUUGCCAAAGGAUACAAGUUGCCCUACCUUAGUAGAGAGGUAAAAACACGCCGCCGUCGACGACGCCGAGGCCACGGCCGCGGCCGUCACUCCUCAACGAGGGGAGUAGCCGCCGUCAUCUCCAUGGCCACGAGCCCACGCCCCCACCCUAUAGGCGUCGUCCGAAGCGCAGCCACCCGUUGCCGAGACACACGCACGCUCCAGAAUAAGAACACGGCCACGCACCAUGACAUAAGCCUGUAGAUCUUUGCGUGUGCUGCUUGGAUAAUGUGUGGAGCUCGCGUUCCCCCCUGCCGCCGCCCUGGGCGUACGUGGGCUUAAGAGGGGGAGGAGAGGGAGCUCCCAUUGGGCGCUUUUAUUUGGACGCUUCGCUGCCUCUUUGAGGAUCCGAGGGGGCUUUCUGCAGAAACGUUUUUUCUAAUGCCAAAAAGCUCCUCGCCUACGCCUAUGCUACCUAAAUCCU